UAUACCUGAACAUAUCAGUUCAAGUAGAAUUUUAAAGCUAUCCAAAACUGAUAGAUUUUUUUUAAGUAUUAUUUAGGGAAAUGAGAUAUUUUUGUCUGGAUCAGAAGAAAGGAAAGGGAAUAAUAUGUUUUUCCCUUUUGUCAAACUGACUAUCUUUUAAAGUGGUACUUUACUCUGCCAGUUAAGUUUUAUUUCACUGUCAUGGACCAAGAGUACACCAAGAUGUCUAUUAGCACUAGCACAUCAUUUCUAAAGAAAACAUAUUUUCAAUUUGAUUAUCAUAUUUAACCUAGGAUAUCAAACUUACUUUUUAACUAUUGUUGUCAUUGUGGUCUCUGUUCUUGAAUUUUUUUCUAGCUUUUAAAAAGCAAUAUGAUGGUAUUUGUCAACUGGCUUACUAGGUAGUAAAAGAUCCAGAAGCCAUACUUGAACCAGUGAUUUAUUUUUUUAUGCUAUAAUGUAACUCAGCCCAAAGAAAAUAUUAAUAACAUAUAACUGUUAUUAAUAGCAUGAGAUAACAAAGGCACUAAUCUUUUUAAUGUUUUCAUAAUUCUACAAUGUCUUUUCUUACCACUUUUCCCACUAACUGCAAAUACCAUUUUUAGAUACUGACUCAGUUGCUAGGAGUGGCUCAUAUUUUUAUUGUUUAAUCUCCUAGGAAAUGCCAAGCAUUUCAUUUUUAAGAUAUUUAUACCAAAUAGUAUGAGAUUAGUACUAGAGUGGAACUUAGAGCAUUAGUCCACUUGUCACUAGCUGCUUGCCUGCUCUCUUUUUUUACCCCUGUUCCUAAUCAGGAUUUCUUUUCCCUUAUACUUUUUGUAAUGAAAAAAGUUCAUAUUUAAGAAUUCAAAUUGGACUGGAGGUGUAGCUCAGUUGUAGAGCACUUGCCUACCUUGUACAAGAUCCUGUAUUUGAUUCCCUAGCAAUUCAAUAAAGACAAUUUUUUUUUCAUAAUUAUCUGAUUAAAGACUCAGAAGAUUUGCAG